AUGCACCAGAUACUGACCUGUCCGCCUGCAGCUCAGUUGUGUUUUCUCACACUGAUGCAUGCGUGAUGGUGGCUGUCAGGUCCAGAUGGUGCUACAGAAACACAAGACCCUGAGAUUUAAGCUCUGAGAGGCGAGGCGCUCCCUCAGGUGUUAUAACUCUAGGGCACACUA
ensembl:scaRNA small Cajal body-specific RNA 1